rnacentral:lncRNA from 1 species
CGAAACAGAGCAUACAUACUAACUUCUCCACACGACCUCAAGACACGCCCGUGUGCCAGGCCGUGUGAAAAUUAAGGAGGCUACUGACUUUAAUUUGUAAGGUACCCCAGGGGACACAAGCCAUGUAACGUGACCGUGUGUCACACACGGCUGAGACACAUGCCCGUGUCUCUUCCGGUGUGGACAAAAAUAGGCCAUUUGAAUAGCCAACUUGC